rnacentral:tRNA from 1 species
GUUUUAAUAAUUUAAAUAAAAAUAUUGAUUUUGUAAAUCAAAAAUAGAAAAUUUCUUUUAAACA